AUUGAACGCUGGCGGCAGGCCUAACACAUGCUAGUCGAACGAGUGGCGGACGGGUGAGUAAUGUCUGUGAAACUGCCCGAUGGAGGGGGAUAACUACUGGAAACGGUAGCUAAUACCGCCUACCAACAGAUGUGCCCAGAUGGGAUUAGCUAGUUGGUGGGGUAACGGCUCCCCAAGGCGACGAUCCCUAGCUGGUCUGAGAGGAUGACCAUCCACACUGGAACUGAGACACGGUCCAGACUCCUACGGUAGGCAGCAGUGGGGAAUAUUGAACAAUGGGCGCAAGCCUGAUGCAGCCAUGCCGCGUGUAUGAAGAAGGCCUUCGGGUUGUAAAGUACUUUCAGCGGGGAGGCGUUACCCGCAGAAGAAGCACCGGCUAACUCCGUGCCAGCAGCCGCGGUAAUAC
rnacentral:rRNA from 1 species